CCUACGGGGGGCAGCAGUGAGGAAUUUUGCGCAAUGGGCGAAAGCCUGACGCAGCGACGCCGCGUGGAGGAUGAAGGCCUUCGGGUUGUAAACUCCUGUUAGAGGGGAAGAAGCCCCGCAAGGGGUUGACGGUACCCUCAGAGGAAGCCCCGGCUAACUACGUGCCAGCAGCCGCGGUAAUACGUAGGGGGCAAGCGUUACUCGGAAUUACUGGGCGUAAAGGGUGUGUAGGCGGCCGAGCAAGUCGAAGAGAAAAGCCCAGGGCACAACCCUGGAAUGGUCAUCGAGACUGCUGGGCUUGAGGGUAGUGGAGGAGAGCGGAAUUCCCGGUGGAGGGGUGAAAUGCGUAGAUAUCGGGAGGAACACCAGAGGCGAAGGCGGCUCUCUAUGCUACUCCUGACGCUGAGGCACGAAAGCUAGGGGAGCAAACGGGAUUAGAUCCCCGGGUAGU
rnacentral:rRNA from 1 species